rnacentral:rRNA from 1 species
CCCUUAGAUGUCCUGGGCCGCACGCGCGUUACACUGAUGCAUUCAACGAGCUUAUAACCUUGGCCGAGAGGCCUGGGCAAUCUUGUUAACGUGCAUCGUGAUAGGGAUAGAUUAUUGAAAUUAUUAAUCUUGAACGAGGAAUUCCUAGUAAACGCAGAUCAUCAAUCUGCAUUGAUUACGUCCCUGCCCUUGGUACACACCGCCCGUCGCACCUACCGAUUGGAUGGUCCGGUGAAGCCUCGGGAUUGUGGUUCUUGCCGCUUUAUUGUGGCGUGACCGCGAGAACUUGUCUAAACCUUAUCAUCUAGAGGAAGGUGAAGUCGUAACA